GAUGAACGCUGGCGGCGUGCCUAAUACAUGCAAGUCGAGCGAACAGACGAGGAGCUUGCUCCUCUGACGUUAGCGGCGGACGGGUGAGUAACACGUGGAUAACCUACCUAUAAGACUGGGAUAACUUCGGGAAACCGGAGCUAAUACCGGAUAAUAUAUUGAACCGCAUGGUUCAAUAGUGAAAGACGGUUUUGCUGUCACUUAUAGAUGGAUCCGCGCCGCAUUAGCUAGUUGGUAAGGUAACGGCUUACCAAGGCAACGAUGCGUAGCCGACCUGAGAGGGUGAUCGGCCACACUGGAACUGAGACACGGUCCAGACUCCUACGGGAGGCAGCAGUAGGGAAUCUUCCGCAAUGGGCGAAAGCUUGACGGAGCAACGCCGCGUGAGUGAUGAAGGUCUUCGGAUCGUAAAACGCUGUUAUUAGGGAAGAACAAAUGUGUAAGUAACUAUGCACGUCUUGACGGUACCUAAUCAGAAAGCCACGGCUAACUACGG
rnacentral:rRNA from 1 species